CAGCAGUCGCCACGGGAAUACAGAGGGUGCGAGCGUUAAUCGGAUUUACUGGGCGUAAAGCGUGCGUAGGCGGCUUCUUAAGUCGGAUGUGAAAUCCCUGAGCUUAACUUAGGAAUUGCAUUCGAUACUGGGAAGCUAGAGUAUGGGAGAGGAUGGUAGAAUUCCAGGUGUAGCGGUGAAAUGCGUAGAGAUCUGGAGGAAUACCGAUGGCGAAGGCAGCCAUCUGGCCUAAUACUGACGCUGAGGUACGAAAGCAUGGGGAGCAAACAGGAUUAGAUACCCCAGUAGUCCCUGUCUCUUAUAA
rnacentral:rRNA from 1 species